rnacentral:rRNA from 1 species
UGCCAGCCGCCGCGGUAAUACGUAGGUCGCAAGCGUUAUCCGGAUUCACUGGGCGUAAAGCGUCCGCAUCCGGCUUAGUAAGUCUGCUUUCAAAUACCAGGGCUCAACCUUGGAAAGGGAGCAGAUACUGCUUAGCUAGAGAAAGAUAGAGGUUAGUAGAAUUUCCGGUGGAGGGGUGAAAUCCGUUGAUAUCGGAAGGAAUACCGAAAGCGAAGGCAGCUAACUAUAUCUUUUCUGAUGGUCAGGGACGAAAGUCUGGGUAGCAAACGGGAUUAGAUA